CUCCUCUCCCUGCAGGUGCCUGGCAAACUCCUCAUCUUCUGAGGUCCAAUACCGGCACCUUCUUUGAAGUUCCAUUAAGGCAGGAACUUCAGUUUAUUCAGAUAAUCCUCAACAAUUUUGUACUAUAGUUUAGCAUGCAGCCACGAACAAGAGAUGCCCUCAUGACUGAAUGGAUGACUCAAGAGUGUAGGGACCCGGCUUCCAGUCCUGACUCUGCUACUAGCUUGCUUAUGUAGUGUCGGGAAAUUGUCUCCCUUCUCUGGAUCUCAGCUCCAAAACAAGGAGUAUUCUCCAGAGAACAGAACCAACAGGAGAUACAGGAAGUCCACUAUCUGCUGUCUGCAAGCUGGAGACUCAGGAAAGCAGGGGGUGUAGUUCCAGUCCAAGUACUAAGGCCUGAGAAUAAAGGAGCAAGAAUAAAGCCCUCAGUGGGUUGGAUGAGGCCCACACACAUUGAGGAGUACAAUUUUCUUGACUCAGUCCAUGGAUUCAAAUGUUAAUCUCUUCCAGAAACACCUUCACAGAAACACAGAGAAAUAAUGCUUAACCAUCUACCUGGGCAUCCAUCCUGUAGACCAGUUGAGUAGACACAUAAAAUUAACCAUCUCAAUUAUUAAUGCAGUUAUGAGAUACUUACAUAUGUAUGAAAUGCAUAUACAAUUUGUAACUGGGUUUUUUUUCGUAAGCAGGACUAUCCUCUUAUCUAAGUUUAUGGCUUCUCUGAUUUUUUGCUUUUAAAUAUCUGUUCUUUUACAAACUGGUAAUGCUGGUAGAAGGUAGGCUUUUACAAAAUCUUAAAUUGUCAGAAUU